AGAAAUGAUGAAGCCAGCUAUGCCAGUGUGUGUCGUAUCUUCCUUUUGUGGUCCGUCUUAGGUGUUUGCGCUGUAAGUUUAAGUUCAGGAUUUUUGGACUGC
rnacentral:lncRNA from 1 species